GACGAACGCUGGCGGCGUGCCUAACACAUGCAAGUCGAGCGGAGUCAGUAAGAGGAAGUUUUCGGAUGGAAUCUUAUUGAUUUAGCGGCGGACGGGUGAGUAACGCGUGAGCGACCAACCUUGCACAGGGGGAUAACGGACCGAAAGGUUCACUAAUACCGCAUGAGACCACGGUGUUGCAUGACACAGAGGUCAAAGGAGCGAUCCGGUGCAAGACGGGCUCGCGUCCGAUUAGGUAGUUGGAGGGGUAACGGCCCACCAAGCCUAUGAUCGGUAGCCGACCUGAGAGGGUGAUCGGCCAAAUUGGAACUGAGAUACGGUCCAAACUCCUACGGGAGGCAGCAGUGGGGAAUAUUGGGCAAUGGGGGAAACCCUGACCCAGCAACGCCGCGUGAAGGAAGAAGGUUUUCGGAUUGUAAACUUCUGUCCUUGGUGAAGAGAAGAAGACGGUAGCCAAGGAGGAAGCCCCGGCUAACUACGUGCCAGCCGCCGCCGUAA
rnacentral:rRNA from 1 species